GACCCGCUUGUCUUUCAGAUAUUUGGCAUCCUGGAAAGUGGAAGGGAACUUAGAGGACAUCUAAGCCUAAAUCUACAUUUUGUUGAUGAGCAGAACUGGGCCCAGAGGAAGAACCUUGUCAAAGUUGCACACUGGGAUCCAUGGAUCAGGAAGCCACCACUGCCUCUCCUGGUGCAGCUGUCUCUCAGCACUCACCAAAGCAAAUGACUGGACACUGGACACUGCUCUAGAAAAAUCCAACACCCCAUGACCAGGCUUGGCAGCAGGAACGACAACCAACCCAGGCUUGCAAGCAGCAGGGGACGAUCUUCACCUCACUUCCACCUUCCAAAUAGCAUUCAUCUGCAUCUAAUUAGUGGAAUAUGGUUCACACCCUAGCUAUAAGGACAUCUGGGAAAUGUACUUUUUGGCUUUGUUCUUUGAAGAGAAAGGCAGAAAUUUGGGAUGGAACUGA